rnacentral:rRNA from 1 species
UACGAAGGGGGCUAGCGUUGUUCGGAAUUACUGGGCGUAAAGGGCGCGUAGGCGGCCCGCACAAGUCUGCGGUGAAAACCCCCGGCUUAACCGGGGGCCGGCCGUGGAAACUGUCGGGCUGGAGGCUGGGAGAGGGCAGCGGAAUUCCCGGUGUAGCGGUGAAAUGCGUAGAGAUCGGGAGGAACACCGGCGGCGAAGGCGGCUGCCUGGACCAGUCCUGACGCUGAGGCGCGAAAGCUAGGGGAGCAAACAGG